CGAGCCACAGGACACGGAGCUGCAGACCAGGAUCAGGGCGGCGAGCAGGACCUCCACCAUCUGGCACCAGGCUGGAGGGGAGGCCGAGCUGCCCCAGCACAGAGCCUCUGUCUCCAGAUACAGUCACUAACAACUUGGGAUCUGUCCUGCCGUGCAGCUGUUAGGUUCCAGUUCAGCCCUUGGCAGACCAUGUUCAGGAGCAACAGCAAUAACCCUAUAGACUUAUAUGGUGAAAAGCCUAAAAACUGCGCCUCAGCACUGUGGGAAAACACUCUCCUCGACACUUCACCUGAUUCCACAAAGGACUGGAGAUCUGAAAAUGCAUCUUAAAAUUUACUUUGGUUGUGGGAAGGAUCUGGUUUGGCUUGCCAUGGACCAAGAGCUCUGACCUGGUUCAGUGCCCUCCCUGGGAACUUGGAGGGUAAAGUGGUAGGAGCAAGUAAUGAGCUGCCUCAUAUGUCUCCAGUUUGAAGCAGCUGGGAGCUGCAGCACAAUCACUGCUGAACACCACAACCAGAUUUAUUGACUGUCCCACAUAAAUAAAUAAUCACAGGGACAAUGAGUGCAGCGUGAUGACGAUAGAGCAGUACUGUAGAAAAGAACUGGAGGUUACUGUGAAUGACAAACUGGACUCAAGUCCACAAUGUCAUCCUGUUGCGAAAAAGCUAACAUUUCUAGGGUCUAUGAACAGGAGUGUCACAUGUAGGACAUGUGAAGAAAUUCUUCUGCCCCCACUUCAGCACUGGCUUGGCCUCAGUCUUGCACACUGUGUUUCCAGAGGCAAGUGGAUCAACUGGAGGGGAUUCAGAAGAAAGCAAAAGAAAUAUCUAGAAAUACAACCUAUGAGAAAAAGAUUGAUCACAGACAUCUCAUUUGAAAUAAUAAGCAUCUAUUAACAGCUUGCAAGCUUGUUAAUAGAGAGGUGUCUAGACAACUUGCAGACUUGUAAAAAACUCUUGUCAAGAGCAGGGAAAUGUUUUGUUCAUUCUGUUUGCUGUUGCAUGGUCAGGAAACAGAGAGCUUAGCUUGAAGCAAAAGGGAUUUCUUUUAGGCACCCUCAAUGUUUCUCACACACACUCCAACUGCACCAUUUUAUGAUAUGAACAGUUGUUGCAGGAGUGGAUUAGUCAGCAGAUGGUAGGUUUCCAUCACUGGGGCUGUAAUUCAGUCAUGGGAAGGCUGGCCUGUCUGUGUUCUUGUGAGAAGGAAGUGCUGGUGGUGCCCAUGCCACCCACUAUAAGCUCACAGUGUCAUCUCACCCCACAAAGCCACUGUGCCCCUUUCCACACCACCCCCAUUAGCUGGUCACUGUCCCAGUGGCUCCAAGGCCAUUGGAGGACAGCUGCUGUGACAUAUCAUGCAACAGCUCAAGUCUCUGAAGUCAUAAGUCAAACACAGGAUAUGCACUUACCUGGAUAAUAUUUACCUGGAUGUAAACAGACACAAAUCUAGACAAGAUGUUUUCUUUCACUGUGCCUGUACUCAGGAACCAGUAACACUCACACUUUGUGGAACAUUUCUCUCAGCAUCUGUAACAGGAGUUGCAAGUCUUUCAUCGUGGCUGUUGGGUCUGUAGCUCACUGGUGCUUCCAACUCCCCACAAACCUCUCUUACCUCCCCACUGGUGCUUCCAACUCCGCACCAACUCUGUGUCUCUCAAUGUGCUGCCUAUGGACUCAGUGCCCAGGCUGAGCAAGCAAAGUCUCCGUACCUGCUAGACUCUGCCCACUCCCAGCACCACAGUGGGGAGUGCAGUCUGCUGUGCCCAGCACAGCUGCUGUCAGGUUGCUGCAGUGCAUUUUCAGGUGCUGGUGUUGUGGGAGGCACACAACAUGGCAUAGUCAUGGCAUUUACAUUCCCUGGUUUUCUUGAUGGAGGGAAAUGGCAAACAGUAGGAGAUGGUGCUUAUUAAGGUGUGUUAAUGCAGCUGUUUUCAAUCUGCCCAGGGCUUGCAGAGGAGAGUUCUAGGAGGACACUCUCCCUGCUGUAAUGCCCUCGAUUUGUGCACGGGGAGAGCCACCUUGUUCCCCUUCCAAAAGAAAUGCAGAGACCAGACAGCCCCUAGAUGCCAAUGCUCUGCUUUCCAAAGCCCAGCUCACACAGGUGGCAAGAGCAUCCUGCAAACCACUUGCAGUACACAGGAUGCUUUUCCAGAAUAGGCAUCCCUAGCUGGACUGUGCAAUUUCAGUGUAUUUCAGAGUUUUAUUUCUGAGAUCAAAUCAAAUUGAUCCUGAGUACGGGCAGAUAGAUAAACUGUAGCUACUGUACAUUUUUUAAUUAGCCCGUUACUGGCUUUAAGCCACUCUUUGUGGAUUGUGCCAUCUUUCUGGCUCUUAAACACAGUGUUUGCACAGCUUUGGAGAGUGUAGCUGGGCUUUUUUGGAGCUGAUUUUUCUGCUCUGAUUGUGCAAAGAGGUAACAGGUGCUAUGCUCCAUUUCAGCAAUUAAGAUUGCUGGAGGCACAAGCAUCACCAUCACUUGAUCAGAGGCUCAUGCAGAUACAUGCAGGUUUGGCAGGGCAGCCCUGCCUUCACUGAUCAGACAGCUUUAAUUCUGAAUGUAUGCAUUUUCAGGGUGCCUGUAUGACCUGUCAGGUUUGUGCCUUGUGUUCAGAAAACCUGCUGCAGUGUUAUAAUGAUGCUGUCAAAUCAAUAAACAGACACAACAUUCAUGAGAGACAUGGUGGUUUUAUUGCUGUUUGCUCAUCUGAGACCUUAACAAUAAAUUUAUUAAAAGAAAAAAAAAAAAAAAAAGAAAUGAAAGGUCAUAUAAUUGGUUAUUAAAAGCUGAAUCAAGUGUGAAUGCAGAGACCAAACAGAGGUUAGGAUACACACAAAACCUGAACUGGCUGGUGCUGUACCAAUGUCUGAAAGGAGAAGACAUAAAUUGCUGGAAAUAAAAGCAAAAUAUAAGGAGGUAACAAGUGAAGUGAUUUGUUACUGACCCUGGUGGAUUUUUAUGCAGAGUACUAGUUGGGUGUCUGUCCCUGCACCUCCCAGUGCACCCUGAAUUGGUAAAACUAUCCUUGUGUAUGACCUACCUGCAGUCUGACAGAGACAGGUUUGUCAGUGCAGCAAUGCUUGAGCCUGUGCUCUCCUCAAGCAACUGUUUCUCAGUCCUGCUUUGUGUCUGCAGCUCAGUCUGGAAGCUGAAUUGCUUGGUCUUACUGGCUUCACCUCUGCUCACAGA